rnacentral:rRNA from 1 species
AGAGUUUGAUCCUGGCUCAGAGUGAACGCUGGCGGUAGGCCUAACACAUGCAAGUCGAACGGCAGCACAGUAAGAGCUUGCUCUUACGGGUGGCGAGUGGCGGACGGGUGAGGAAUACAUCGGAAUCUACUUUUUCGUGGGGGAUAACGUAGGGAAACUUACGCUAAUACCGCAUACGACCUACGGGUGAAAGCAGGGGAUCUUCGGACCUUGCGCGAUUGAAUGAGCCGAUGUCGGAUUAGCUAGUUGGCGGGGUAAAGGCCCACCAAGGCGACGAUCCGUAGCUGGUCUGAGAGGAUGAUCAGCCACACUGGAACUGAGACACGGUCCAGACUCCUACGGGAGGCAGCAGUGGGGAAUAUUGGACAAUGGGCGCAAGCCUGAUCCAGCCAUACCGCGUGGGUGAAGAAGGCCUUCGGGUUGUAAAGCCCUUUUGUUGGGAAAGAAAUCCAGCUGGUUAAUACCCGGUUGGGAUGACGGUACCCAAAGAAUAAGCACCGGCUAACUUCGUGCCAGCAGCCGCGGUAAUACGAAGGGUGCAAGCGUUACUCGGAAUUACUGGGCGUAAAGCGUGCGUAGGUGGUUGUUUAAGUCUGUUGUGAAAGCCCUGGGCUCAACCUGGGAACUGCAGUGGAAACUGGACGACUAGAGUGUGGUAGAGGGUAGCGGAAUUCCUGGUGUAGCAGUGAAAUGCGUAGAGAUCAGAGGAACAUCCAUGGCGAAAGCAGCUACCUGGACCAACACUGACACUGAGGCACGAAAGCGUGGGGAGC